GCCUCUAUAGCUCAGUAGGUAGAGCGCAUCCAUGGUAAGGAUGAGGUCGCCGGUUCGAUCCCGGCUGGAGGCUCCA
rnacentral:tRNA from 2 species